UUCCAGACUCCUACGGGAGGCAGCAGUGGGGAAUAUUGCACAAUGGGCGAAAGCCUGAUGCAGCAACGCCGCGUGAAGGAAGAAGGGUUUCGGCUCGUAAACUUCUAUCAACAGGGACGAAAAAAAUGACGGUACCCAAGGAAUAAGCCCCGGCUAACUACGUGCCAGCAGCCGCGGUAAUACGUAGGGGGCAAGCGUUGUUCGGAAUGACUGGGCGUAAAGGGUGCGUAGGCGGUGUAGCAAGUUAGAAGUGAAAUACCUAGAGCUUAACUCAGGUGCUGCUUCUAAAACUGCUAUACUUGAGUGCAGUAGAGGAAAGUGGAAUUCCUAGUGUAGCGGUGGAAUGCGUAGAUAUUAGGAGGAACAUCAGUGGCGAAGGCGACUUUCUGGACUGUAACUGACGCUGAGGCACGAAAGUGUGGGGAGCAAACAGGAUUAGAUACCCCAGUAAA
rnacentral:rRNA from 1 species